CCUCGGGUCCACUGGUUGGAGGGUCCACUGGUCUUAAUCUCUUUAUAUUAUUUAAUGGUGUCUAUUACAACCCCAAACUGAUUUUAAAGUUUACCCUAAACC